rnacentral:rRNA from 1 species
CCUAGGGGGGCUGCAGUGGGGAAUAUUGGACAAUGGGCGAAAGCCUGAUCCAGCCAUUCCGCGUGUGUGAAGAAGGCCUUCGGGUUGUAAAGCACUUUCAGUGGGGAAGAAAGCCUUGGGGCUAAUACCCUCGAGGAAGGACAUUACCCACAGAAGAAGCACCGGCUAACUCCGUGCCAGCAGCCGCGGUAAUACGGAGGGUGCGAGCGUUAAUCGGAAUUACUGGGCGUAAAGCGCGCGUAGGCGGUCUGAUAAGCCGGUUGUGAAAGCCCCGGGCUCAACCUGGGAACGGCAUCCGGAACUGUCAGGCUAGAGUGCAGGAGAGGAAGGUAGAAUUCCCGGUGUAGCGGUGAAAUGCGUAGAGAUCGGGAGGAAUACCAGUGGCGAAGGCGACCUUCUGGACUGACACUGACGCUGAGGUGCGAAAGCGUGGGUAGCAAACAGGAUUAGAUACCCCUGUAGUC